rnacentral:rRNA from 1 species
AGAACGAACGCUGGCGGCGUGGAUAAGACAUGCAAGUCGAACGGGACUGCUUUUGGUAGCAAUACCGAAAGUAGUUUAGUGGCGAACGGGUGCGUAACACGUGGGCAAUCUGUCCUAAAGUGGGGGAUAGCUCGGCGAAAGCCGAAUUAAUACCGCAUGUGAUCAGGGGAGACAUCUUCCCGAAAUCAAAGGUGGCGCAAGCUACCGCUUUUUGAUGAGCCCGCGGCCUAUCAGCUAGUUGGUGAGGUAACGGCUCACCAAGGCUAUGACGGGUAGCU